UACGUAGGGCGCGAGCGUUGUCCGGAAUUAUUGGGCGUAAAGAGCUCGUAGGCGGCCUGUUGCGUCUGCUGUGAAAUCCCGGGGCUCAACUCCGAGCUUGCAGUCGAUACGGGCAGGCUAGAGUUCGGCAGGGGAGACUGGAAUUCCUGGUGUAGCGGUGAAAUGCGCAGAUAUCAGGAGGAACACCGGUGGCGGAGGCGGGUCUCUGGGCCGAUACUGACACUGAGGAGCGAAAGCGUGGGGAGCGAACAGG
rnacentral:rRNA from 1 species